rnacentral:tRNA from 1 species
CUAGACUUAGGAUCUAGUGUCUUCGACGUGGGAGUUCGAGUCUCUUCACCCGCA